GGUAUGUUUUACAUAGCAAUUUUAUUAGUGUGCUGUUCUCUAGAUUUAAAAAAAAAAUUUUUUUUAUCUGCAUCAUCAACAUUCUCCACCCCCUCCACCUCCCCCAUCCUUAGGUAUUUCCCAGAUACUGUCAGAACAGCCUGUACUCAGAGCUCUGAUCAAGGGCUCCCCGGUGAUCUGGACACACAUUUCUGUCACAGAGUAUUGCUAAGUAAGAUGAAGUGUUAAGAUUAUGGGGAUUUGUACUAGGUUACAGAUUCUGAGACAUCAUGUGAGGUGGCGUGACAACUCAUGUUCCCUGGCACAUUUUCCAAGCUUGGCCUUUCUGCAACCUGUGCAGUUUUUAAGGAAAUGACUGAGCAGUUUUGUUCUGGUCGGGUGGCAGGGAAUGAGGACCCAUGAGGAGACACUUGUCUUACCGUCACUUCAAAUUGUGUCAAAGAGCAGGAACAGAGGAAAUCCAGCCUGGCUAGUGGUCCUCAGCGUUGACUUGGCCCAUGAGCUAUGCACACUGAAAUGCUCUCUACACUACAGUGGCUGUAAAUGGCUGGGGGAUGUGGGCUGCUUUUGAGCUGGGUGUUUCCCUACAGAGGGCUGCUCAGUAUUGGGAAGAGUUGAUGCUUUGCACUUCCCUACUGACUUGAGUGCUCUGAGGUGGGAAAGCCCUGAGGUGGGAGAGCCCUGGGUGGGAGCGUAGGGCCCGGAGAGCUGAGUAGAGAAACAGUAGCCAUCUGUCGCCUUUCUCCACAGGACCUGGCGGACUUCAGAGAGGGGAAGUGGGUGAGCCCUGGUCAGAACUACUCGCAUACCCUGAUCUAAUCGUCACGGGUCCUGGCCACUUGGUUUAUGGCCCAUGGUCUCUGUCAAUUUGCAGACAGUGACUGAACAGCUGCUUGGAUUGUUCCCAGCCCAGAGCCCAUUAAUACAGAAUUCUACCAGGCUUUAUCCAUGGAAAAAGGAAAAUCAAAGUGCUAUUUCCCAAAGAAGGAGCGUGCAGGAUAGCCAAAGUCAAUCAGUGUCAUGACGGGAAGAAUGGAAGGUCAUGGUCAUUGGAAGGGGAGGCCACCUGGUCACUUUGCUUCAUGGACUGGAAACCUGGAUUCAAGCCCCAGCUCUUCUAUGUAACAUUGAACAGGCCACCAAACCUACCUGAAGCUCUUUUUCACAUUUGUGGACAGUGACCUUGGCUCCUUUAUCUGCCUUCUAGGAACUGGGUUACCCUGUGAAAGUAUUCUGUAAACUUAUAAAAUUCUACACAAAUGAAGGUAUUACUGUCUGAGGGAAUGGAAAAGCCCAUUGUAAAUCCAUAUUGGAUGGCAAAUGGACACCACCACUUCCUUAUAUUAGUUUUCUGGAGGUAGCUCUCCCAGCUGGAAGGAAAGGGUUAGGAUAAAAAUAAGACAGUCAUUCACAUACAUGCUACAAAUCUAAAUGGGCCUGAAUCACCCUGCUGUGCAGCCACUUCAGUAAG